rnacentral:rRNA from 1 species
UGCCUUUAGCACAAAGUAUUAAAGGUAUCGCCUGCCCAGUGAAUAUUUAAACGGCCGCGGGAUCCUCACCGUGCAAAGGUAGCAUAAUCACUUGUCCCCUAAAUAGUGACUAGUAUGAAUGGCCAAAUGAAGAUUUUACUGUCUCUUAUAGCUAAUCUAUGAAACUAAUCUAUCAGUACAAAAACUGAUAUAUUAACAUAAGACGAAAAGACCCUGUGGAACUUCAAGCACAACUCAACAUCUAUGAUCCCCUGCUUUUAGUUGGGGCAACUUUGGAAAUAAACAAAACUUCCAAUCUCUAUGAAGAUAAACAUAUCAACAAACACAGCUCUUAUAUUAGACCCAGUAUUAUACUGAUCAAAGAACCAAGCUACCCCAGGGAUAACAGCGCUAUCCCCUCCAAGAGCCCAAAUCGACGAGUGGGGUUUACGACCUCGAUGUUGGAUCAGGGCCCCCAAACAGUGCAACAGCUGUUAACGGUUUGUUUGUUCAACAAUUAAAGCCCUACGUGAUCU